rnacentral:tRNA from 1 species
GACUCAGUGGCCUAAUGGAUAAGGCAUCAGCCUCCAGAGCUGGGGAUUAUGGGUUCAAGUCCCAUCUGGGUUG